GGAAUCACAGGAGGGUUGGCUCUCUUUGGUGCACUUCUUCGCUUGGCAGGUUAGCAUCAAUUUUGGUCGUCAUAAAAUUAUCGGGGUAAGGUGGCUCCCCUCGGGGAGUGUUAUAGACCUUGGUAGAUGUGAUGACCGGGAUUGAGGAUUGCAGCGGAUGCUUUUGGGCUAGUCACCUGAUUUCUGUUGAUCACCCUCGCCGCCGAUAGCUUGCUAACCCUGGUGGGAUUUAUAA
rnacentral:rRNA from 1 species